AGCGAACGCUGGCGGCAGGCUUAACACAUGCAAGUCGAGCGGGCAUCUUCGGAUGUCAGCGGCAGACGGGUGAGUAACACGUGGGAACGUACCCUUCGGUUCGGAACAACUCUGGGAAACUGGAGCUAAUACCGGAUACGCCCUUAUGGGGAAAGGUUUACUGCCGAAGGAUCGGCCCGCGUCUGAUUAGCUAGUUGGUGGGGUAACGGCCUACCAAGGCGACGAUCAGUAGCUGGUCUGAGAGGAUGAUCAGCCACACUGGGACUGAGACACGGCCCAGACUCCGACGGGAGGCAGCAGUGGGGAAUAUUGGACAAUGGGCGCAAGCCUGAUCCAGCCAUGCCGCGUGAGUGAUGAAGGCCUUAGGGUUGUAAAGCUCUUUUGUCCGGGACGAUAAUGACGGUACCGGAAGAAUAAGCCCCGGCUAACUUCGUG
rnacentral:rRNA from 1 species